rnacentral:rRNA from 1 species
AUUGAACGCUGGCGGCAGGCCUAACAAAUGCAAGUCGGACGAGUGGCGGACGGGUGAGUAAUGUCUGGGAAAAUGCCUGAUGGAGGGGGAUAAAUACUGGAAACGGUAGCUAAUACCGCAUACCAUCAGAUGUGCCCAGAUGGGAUUAGCUAGUGUGUGGGAUAACGGCUCACCAAGGAGACGAUCCCUAGCUGGUCUGAGAGGAUGACCAGCAACAAUGGAACUGAUACACGGUCCAGCUUCCUCCGCGAGGCAGCAGUGGGGAAUAGUGCACAAUGGGCGCAAGCCUGCUGCAGCCAUGCAGCGUGUCUUACGAAGGCUUUCGGGUUGUAAAGUACUUUCUGCGGGGAGGCGUUACCCGCAGAAGAAGCACCGGCUAACUCCGUGCCAGCAGCCGCGGUAAUUC